rnacentral:rRNA from 1 species
UACGUAGGGGGGCAAGCGUUGUCCGGAAUCAUUGGGCGUAAAGAGCGUGUAGGCGGUCCGAUAAGUCCGCUCUGAAAGCCCGGGGGCUCAACCCCGGGAGGCGGGCGGAUACUGUCGGGCUAGAGUCCGGAAGAGGCAAGUGGAAUUCCUGGUGUAGCGGUGAAAUGCGCAGAUAUCAGGAGGAACACCAAUGGCGAAGGCAGCUCGCUGGGACGUGACUGACGCUGAGACGCGAAAGCGUGGGGAGCAAACAGG